CAGUCGCCGCGGUAAUACGUAGGUGGCGAGCGUUAUCCGGAAUUAUUGGGCGUAAAGGGUGCGUAGGCGGCCUGUUAAGUAAGUGGUUAAAUUGUUGGGCUCAACCCAAUCCAGCCACUUAAACUGGCAGGCUAGAGUAUUGGAGAGGCAAGUGGAAUUCCAUGUGUAGCGGUAAAAUGCGUAGAUAUAUGGAGGAACACCAGUGGCGAAGGCGGCUUGCUAGCCAAAGACUGACGCUCAUGCUCGAAAGCGUGGGGAGCAAAUAGGAUUAGAGACCCCCGUAGUCCCUGUCUCUUAUACA
rnacentral:rRNA from 1 species